rnacentral:tRNA from 1 species
GGCCUAGUGGCGGAAUGGCAGACGCGCUCGAUUCAAAAUCGAGUACCCAAAAGGUGUGUGGGUUCGAGUCCCUCCUGGGCCA